rnacentral:rRNA from 1 species
CUCUAAGUCAGAAUCCGUGCCAGAAAGCGACGACGCCUCCCGCACGUAUAGAUGGACACGAAUAGGCUUCGGCUUAGCGUCUUAGCAGGCAGGGACCGCCGCGGCCCACGAAGCGGGUUGCGGUACCUUGCGAAUUGUAAUUUCAGCACGAGCGGGGUCGAAUCCCUUGCAGACGACUUUGAUGUGCGAAAGGGUCCUGUAAGCAGUAGAGUAGCCUUGUUGUUACGAUCUGCUGAGGGUAAGCCCUACUUCGCCUAGAUUU